rnacentral:rRNA from 1 species
UGGGGAAUAUUGGACAAUGGGCGAAAGCCUGAUCCAGCCAUGCCGCGUGUGUGAAGAAGGUCUUCGGAUUGUAAAGCACUUUAAGUUGGGAGGAAGGGCAGUAAGCGAAUACCUUGCUGUUUUGACGUUACUCGCAGAAUAAGCACCGGCUAACUCUGUGCCAGCAGCCGCGGUAAUACAGAGGGUGCGAGCGUUAAUCGGAUUUACUGGGCGUAAAGCGUGCGUAGGCGGCUAAUUGAGUCGGAUGUGAAAUCCCCGAGCUUAACUUGGGAAUUGCAUUCGAUACUGGUUAGCUAGAGUGUGGGAGAGGAUGGUAGAAUUCCAGGUGUAGCGGUGAAAUGCGUAGAGAUCUGGAGGAAUACCGAUGGCGAAGGCAGCCAUCUGGCCUAACACUGACGCUGAGGUACGAAAGCAUGGGGAGCAAACAGG